GACACAGGGAGGUAGUGACAAGAAAUAACAAUACAGGGCUACUGUCUUGUAAUUGGAAUGAUGGCGACCCAAACCCUCGCCAGAGUACCAAUUGGAGGGCAAGUCUGGUGCCAGCAGCCGCGGUAAUUCCAGCUCCAAUAGCGUAUAUUAAACUUGUUGCAGUUAAAAAGCUCGUAGUUGAACUUCGGCCUUGCGCGUCCUGCGGGUCUGCGCGCGGCCUUUGCGUUACUUUGAGAAAAUUAGAGUGUUUCAAGCAGGCUUUCGCCGUGAAUACUUGAGCAUGGAAUAACUGGGCAGGACCUUGGUUCUUCUUUGUUGGUUUUGUACCUGGGUAAUGGUUAAUAGGAACGGUUGGGGGCAUUCGUAUUUAACUGUCAGAGGUGAAAUUCUUAG
rnacentral:rRNA from 1 species